AUUUUUUUAAGUCUCCACCUUGAUCCUGCUCUUUCCCUCAUGGAUACAGGUUAAGGAAAAAAACAAAAUAAGACAGUGCUUUGUCCUUAUGUUAAAAUAAAAACAAGCAAGACCCAGGUAUAUAUCUUUAUGAUCUCUCUUUCCCUUUGUUAAUUAGGAUAUAUUAUCAUACUAUUCUACCUUUUUUUUUUUUUUUUUUUUUUGGUUUUUCAAGACAGGGUUUCUCUGUGUAGCCCUGGCUGUCCUGGAACUCACUCUGUAGACCAGGCUGGCCUUGAACUCAGAAAUCCACCUGCCUCUGCCUCCCGAGUGCUGGGAUUAAAGGAGUGCGCCACCACCCCCUGGCUGUUGUACCUUUUUAAUAUAUGCGAUGGAGCUGGAUUUCUAUACUGUGCAUGUGUAAAGGUGUGCAUGACGGUGAGGUGAAUAUUUUAGUAUCUCUUAUGCUGAGCCGUGCUGAUAAUUAGACAGUGUUUUCUGAAUGUAAGUGAGGAAUACUUAAAAUAGUCAAUGAAUGAUAAAUUGUUACACCAUUAAAAUGAAGAGCAGAUAAAUAAUAGUUCAGUUACAACUGGAGAAGCAUGCUUUACUUCUGUUCUCACUGUUAAUGCCUCUUUCUCGUUUCUUAAUUUUGAAAGCUACAGAUUUAGCAAAAAUUAAAUAGUCACAGGAUUUAGAAAGAAAAUAUUCUUUAUAUCCUUUCAAGAAUGAAAACUGGCAUUUUUAAGUUGAAGCCAUAUUUCUCAUUUGUGACUGGUGUUCUAGAAGUUUUGUGUUAAGUGCAUUUCUGUCUUUGCCACUGGUAUUCUUUCUUUUCAUAGUUAUUUGAAGUUAAAGUGAACUCAUGGCCCGGUUAAUGUGAAAUCAUAGACUUUUGAAAUUGAGAUAUACUUAUGGCUUUGAAAACUUAAGACAAUAAGAAUUUUGAUAAUUUUUUUUUUUUGUGUGCCAAGUUUCAUUUUUCCCCAAACCAUGUACAUAAGUUUAGGUGUAAAUUCAGAAGGUGGAGAACUCACGCAGGGCCCUUGCUGAGUUCCUGGGACUUUUUAGGUUCUCAACCAAAGCUUGAAACUGAAAAUAAUUGAGUAGAAUGGGUCCCUAUUUAAAAUUCAGUUUUUUGCAUCUUGCCUUUUUAUUUAUUUCUUGUCAUUUCUCACAUGGGUGCCAUGUAUAUUGAUCAUUGAGACCACCAGCCUCACCUUUCUACCUCAUAUUUUCCUAGCGUCUCUCUCUCUCUCUCUCUCUCUCUCUCUCUCUCUCUCUCUCACACACACACACCUUCAUGUCUUUUUAGUUGUCAAACAUUUCAAUUAUUUGAUUUGAUUUGGGUCUUUACAUACACAGUCUAUCUUCUUGGAUCAGUCUCUGCCUUGCCUGCCUGACAUCUGUUCAUCGUUCAAUUAACAGUUUAAAGUUUACUGAAUGAAGUAAUGGUUAUAGUUUCUCAGUUAUUAGAUAUCAAAUUCCACAGUUGACCUGCUGUCACAUAAACAAAAAACCCAAGUUGUUUUUUGAAUGUCUCAAGUAUAACACUUCCUUAAAUACAUUUUAUUUUAUUUGAUGGCAUUUUCUGAUCUACUAGCUUAUGAGAUAGUCUUUUGUUAUGUGUUUUGUUUUUUGUUUUUUUUUUUUGUUUUUCGAGACAGGGUUUCUCUGAAUAGAUAGCCUUGGCUAUACAGGCUGGCCUCGAACUCAGAAAUCCACCUGCCUCUGCCUUUGCCUCCCGAGUGCUGGGAUUAAAGGCAUGCGCCACCACACCCGGCUUUAUGAGAUAGUCUUAAUUCUUAAACCUUAAACAACCCCCCCCCCCCAAAAAAAAGCACAACCAAAAAACACUUUGCAAGCCACUUACUUAAGUAAGGUAUUGGGAUUCAAGAGCUGUCAUAUGGUUCCUGCCUUUAGAAGCCUUAAAAUGCUUGAUAAUAUGGAAAACUCACUGAUGUUAAAAAACAUUUCUACAAGUACAAAAGAUGUUCCAGAACCAAACACAAUCAUCCUAGAUGAAUAUAAUGCACUUUAUGUUUUUAAAAGUUCCAGGUGCUGUAGAGAUGUCUUGGUAGUUAAGAGCACUGUUGCUCUUGCCUAGGUUCUUUUACCAGAAUCUACGUGUCUGUAUCUGUAGUUCACAUUCCAGGGAAUUCAAAGCCUUCACCUGACUUCCAUGGGCACCAGGCAUGCAUGUGCAACACAUACAAACAUGAAGGCAAAAUACUCACAUGUAUAAGAUAAAUCUAAAAUAAUUUAAAAAUAAAAAGCUCAGUCUGUAAAGCUCUUGCCCGAAAGCCUGAAGACGUAAUUUUGAUCCCCAGCACCUGAAUAAAAAGUCUGGUACGAUUGUAGGUACUUACAAUUCCAGCACUGAGGAGGCAGAGGCAGGCAGAUCAUGGGGCUUGCUGGCCAGUUAGCUAGCAUAAUUGACAAGCAUCAGAUCCCUACAAGAGCCCUUGUCUCAAAAAACAGGACAACACCCAAGGCUGAUCUCUAGCCUCCCUGCAGGUGCACACAUAUAUGCAUAUCACACAUAUGUUCAUGCACAGGAGCAGACACCUACAUGGGGGGAGAGAGAGUGCAUGGAGUUGAGAAAGCUCACUAGCUGGGUGUGGUGGCCUAUGCCUGUACCAGUUCAGGAUGGCUAAGGCAUGAUUUCAAGUUUAAGAUCAAACUAGGCUAUACUGAAACCUUGUCUCAUAAAACAGUGCACAGCUGGUUUCAUGUCUUUAAUCAUAGCACUCAAGAGGUUUGCAGGAGGAUUGCUGUGAAUUCAAGGCCAGUUUGGUUUACAUAAUAAGUUCUAAGGCCAACCAUGGCUACCUAGAGAGACUGUCUCAAAAG
rnacentral:lncRNA from 1 species